GUCCCCUUCGUCUAGAGGCCUAGGACACCGCCCUUUCACGGCGGCGACAGGGGUUCGACUCCCCUAGGGGACGCCA
rnacentral:tRNA from 13 species